GGGCGGGCGGCAACUAAAUGUUGUCCGUGCAUUUACUCAUGAACCGUUCAACCAAAGCUUUUCAAAUUUUAAUAUGUUGUUACAGACAACAAAAUGAAGGUCAAGUUCAAUAAUGACGAUUUUGACUUUUACCGUUCAGGAGUUAUGGUUCUUGAAAGAUUGAAAAAUGGCAUUUCCAGUUGUGUCCGUGCAUUUACGCAUGAACUGUUCAACCAAAGCUUCCCAAAUUUUUAUAUGUUGUUACUGAUGACAAAAUGGAAGUCAAGUUCAAUAAUGACGAUUUUGACUUUUACCGUUCAGGAGUUAUGGUUCUUGAAAGAUUGAAAAAUGGCUUUUCCAGUCGUGUCCGUGCAUUUACUCAUGAACUGUUCAACCAAAGCUUUUCAAAUUUUAAUAUGUUGUUACUGAUGACAAAAUGGAGGUCAAGUUCAAUAAUGACGAUUUUGACUUAUACCGUUCAGGAGUUAUGGUUCUUGAAAGAUUGAAAAAUGGCAUUUCCAUCGUGUCCGUGCAUUUACUCAUGAACUGUUCAACCAAAGCUUUUCAAAUUUUAAUAUGUUGUUACUGAUGACAAAAUGGAGGUCAAGUUCAAUAAUGACGAUUUUGACUUUUACCGUUCAGGAGUUAUGGUUCUUGAAAGAUUGAAAAAUGGCUUUUCCAGUUGUGUCCGUGCAUUUACUCAUGAACCAUUCAACCUAAGCUUUUCAAAUUUUAAUAUGUUGAUACUGAUGACAAAAUGGAGGUCAAAUUUGAUAUUGACGAUUUUCACUUUCACCGUUCAUCAGUUAUGGUUCUUGUGAUAUUGGCAGGAU
rnacentral:lncRNA from 1 species